GACGGAGGGUGCAAACGUUGUUCGGAAUCACUGGGCCUAAAGCGCACGUAGGCGGUGCACUAAGUCAGGUGUGAAAGCCCCCGGCUCAACCGGGGAAUGGCAUCUGAUACUGGUGUGCUCGAGGACGGUUGGGGUGAGUGGAACUCCUGGUGGAGCGGUGAAAUGCGUAGAUAUCAGGAGGAACACCGGUGGCGAAAGCGGCUCACUGGGCCGUCUCUGACGCUGAGGCUCGAAAGCGUGGGGAGCAAACAGG
rnacentral:rRNA from 1 species